AAUUUUCUAUUUGUUAAACGUUUGCAAAAAAGAACAUGGCUCAAAUUCUCAAAUUUCUUUCUGUAGCCUAUUGUAUGCCAUUUCUUCACACCAUUAUCAUAUUGUCUUUUAUAAUGAUGUUCCAAUUUGACAUUUCAGUUGCUCCAUUCCCUUGCUAUAGUCAGGCUGAUUGUGUAAACAAAGCAUGUCACUAUCCUUUAAAACUGAGGUGCCUUUAUUAUAAUUGUGAGUGCGUAUAAUUUUAUUGGAUUUAAUUUAUAUAUAUCGACAGUGUAUUUUUUUUUACACAUGCAUUCAAUUAAAUCACGCCAAGUACAUUUUUGCUGAGAAAUUUUAGGAACUAAUAUAUAAAAGUGGUACUAUGGUGUGACUUAAUUGGAUGUACGUGUACAAAAGUUUUACACCGACGUCGUUGAUGUAUAGCAAUUAAUCUCAAUUUUGUUUAUACGUCACGGUGUUGGAACUUUAUAAUGUCCCCCACAAUUUUAUUUAUGUUUCUAUGAUCUUUAAAUUUCUUUGACAAACCCAAAGAAAUUAUAUUGCUAAUACUUUUCAUUUAUAGUGUCUUGUAAUAUUAUAAAAAUAUUGUAAUGUUACACUUGUUCGCUCGUAAAAGAUAGUGAAAACAUAUCUCUUUAGUGACUCGAUUAUUAUAUUUUUAUUGGAUACCGUUAAUCGAAUCCGUUCAUGACAAAUGUGUCGAAUUUUAUAUAGUUUAAAUUCGAUUUAUUUAGUUAAUGAAUUUAAUUUUCAACUCAAGUCCAACUCAAUUUGAUUCAUAUAAAUCAAAUUUGGCGAAUCAAUUAUCUAAUUGAGUUUCAAACUUUGAUCGAAUCGGCUCGGUUUAAUGUCACCGCUAUGCAAGAACAAGGCUUUAAUCACCAUCUUUUGUUUUUUAUCACAACCAAUGAAGAAUAUUAAUCACCUAUAUUUUCUAAUAAUUAAAUAUUUUGCAUCUUUAAUAUUCUCUAUAAAAAAAUAUUGAAUCUUUAAUAAAAUGAUAAUGGUAAUUAACUUUGUAAUUAAAAAAAUAUAGUGUAAUAAUAAAAUAAAAUAAAAUAAAAGACGUUAAUAUUUUAGAUCAAAGAUCAGUGACUUAGCACAACAGGACUUGACUUCAAAGCUAUAGUAUUUGCCUUUCCCAACACCAUGACGUGGUAAUUUCGAAGUCAGAAGCUUGGGUAUCAAGGAUUUGAAUCCUCUCUAUUUUCUUUUACGUCGGUCAUGUUGUAAAACUAAAAAUUUUAGUUUUUCAUAUACUUUUAUUUUCUCUCUCUUUAUAAGUGUCGUAGAAAUUUUAGCCAUUCAUCACAAUUCUCUUAAACAUAUAUAUAUAUAUAUAUAUAUAUAUAUAUAUAUAUAUAUAUAUAUAUAUAUAUAUAUAUAUAUAUUCAGUGCUAAUACAUCAAUAUUACUUAUGAGAUCUCAACUCUCAAGAUACGCUAAAAUAAUGAGUUCACCGAUACGUUAAAAUAGCUUUUGAAUCAUACCCGAUACAUACCGAUACAUCGAUAUGCUCUCAUACGUUGUCGAUACAUAUCAAAGGAGUAUCCAAAUUUAUUUUUUAAGUAAAAAAUAAAAUAAAAUUCAAUACAACGACAGCAUGUUGUGAUACACCAUUGACAUCGACACGUCUCUGAUACGCCGGGAUACAAAUGUGACCUUUUUAUAUUUGACUGUUAAUUUUUCCCACGUAUAAUAUUAGUGACCUUUUCAAUUAUGCAUUACUCAGUACUUAUUAUCAAUUUUCAGGUUGAAGAACAUAUAUUUGUUUUAGACAGGUUUUUAAAUUUGUAAAUUUAACAUAUUUUCGUAUUCGUAUAUAUAUAUAUAUAUAUAUAAAUAAUAACAUAUCAGUGUUCUUUUUAAAUUUUCAAGGAUGGAAAAAUACAAGCAACUGUAAGGAAGUUACUAUUGCAAAACAUUCGUGAAAUGGUUGAAGAAUGAUGUACUUAUGGUUUGAAAAAGGUGAGUCAAAUACGAGGUUAUUUUAAGAUCACAUCACAUAAGUAUAAGUCAAAUGCGAGUUUGAUGUUAUUUUUUUUUUUUGACAAAGCGAGUUUGAUGUUAUUUAAUUCAAAAA
rnacentral:lncRNA from 1 species